rnacentral:rRNA from 1 species
UGCCCAGGGGACGUGGAUAACCUCGGGAAACUGAGGAUAAACCGCGAUAAGUCACUACUUCUGGAAUGGGUAAUGACUUAAAUCUAUAUGGCCCCUGGAUUGGACUGCGGCCGAUCAGGCUGUUGGUGAGGUAAUGGCCCACCAAACCUGUAACCGGUACGGGCUCUGAGAGGAGGAGCCCGGAGAUGGGCACUGAGACAAGGGCCCAGGCCCUAUGGGGCGCAGCAGGCGCGAAACCUCUGCAAUAGGCGAAAGCCUGACAGGGUUACUCUGAGUGAUUUCCGUUAAGGAGAUCUUUUGGCACCUCUAAAAAUGGUGCAGAAUAAGGGGUGGGCAAGUCUGGUGUCAGCCGCCGCGGUAAUACCAGCACCCCGAGUGGUCGGGACGUUUAUUGGGCCUAAAGCAUCCGUAGCCGGUUCUGCAAGUCUUCCGUUAAAUCCACCUGCUUAACAGAUGGGCCGCGGAAGAUACUAUAGAGCUAGGAGGCGGGAGAGGCAAGCGGUACUCGAUGGGUAGGGGUAAAAUCCGUUGAUCCAUUGAAGACCACCAGUGGCGAAGGCGGCUUGCCAGAACGCGCUCGACGGUGAGGGAUGAAAGCUGGGGGAGCAAACCGGAUUAGAUACCCGGGUAGUCCCAGCUGUAAACGAUGCAGACUCGGUGAUGAAUUGGCUUCAUGCCAAUUCAGUGCCGCAGGGAAGCCGUUAAGUUUGCCGCCUGGGGAGUACGGUCGCAAGACUGAAACUUAAAGGAAUUGGCGGGGGAGCUCCACAAGGGGUGAAGCCUGCGGUUCAAUUGGAGUCAACGCCGGAAAUCUUACCGGGGGCGACAGCAGAAUGAAGGUCAAGCUGAAGACUUUACCAGACAAGCUGAGAGGAGGUGCAUGGCCGUCGCCAGCUCGUGCCGUGAGGUGUCCUGUUAAGUCAGGUAACGAGCGAGACCCCUGCCUCUAGUUGCUACCAUUAUUCUCAGGAGUAGUGGAGCUAAUUGGAGGGACUGCCGUCGCUGAGACGGAGGAAGGAGGGGGCUACGGCAGGUCAGUAUGCCCCGAAACCCUCGGGCCACACGCGGGCUGCAAUGGUAAGGACAAUGAGUAUCGAUUCCGAAAGGAGGAGGCAAUCUCUAAACCUUACCACAGUUAUGAUUGAGGGCUGAAACUCGCCCUCAUGAAUAUGGAAUCCCUAGUAACCGCGUGUCACUAUCGCGCGGUGAAUACGUCCCUGCUCCUUGCACACACCGCCCGUCGCUUCAUCGAAGUUGGUUCUUGGCGAGGUGAUGCCUAAUUGGUACUAUCGAACCUGGGGUCAGCAACGAGGGAGAAGUCGUAACAAGGUGGCCGUAGGGGAACCUGCGGCCGGAUCACCUCCU